UAUCAGCUAAAUAGCUAGCUAUCGCUCUCUACCAAUAUUACCGUUUUUCCUCCUUUGUUUCUCUAACGGUCACUUGGACCUAAUGUCUACGGCGAGUCGGAUGGCUCCGCCGGUCUGACCACCUCCUUUCCCGCAGACCAACCCCCUUCUCUUGCGCAAAGCUUUCCUCCCCUCCUUCCCAAAGGGUUGGACAAAAAGCCCUAACCCUUGACUCUCCAGAAAGGCAAAUAGGCAAAUGGAGUAUUCAACAGUUUACUAAAGGAUCGAUUUCCGACCAGAGGGAUAACACUAAUGAAGGGCGAUGUUUUGCUGAGGGUUUGAGGAAUCAUACAAACAGGAUGAGGAGGAAGAAAGUUAAUCUACCAGACAGAUCUUACAAUUUAUCUGAAGGUAAGGCUACUGUCACCUUCACCAAAGAUGAAAACGAUCUCCUAGCUGAAUCAUGUCGUCUUACGGUAGUGGGAAAAUUCUCGAGAAUCAGACCUUCAAUAGAUAAAAUUCGAUUGGAGUUUAAUAGAGUGUUUGACCUAAAGGGGGGAGUGAAAAUUGGGGUCUACAAUAUGUACCAUGUUUUCAUUGAUUUUGAACUGGAAGAAGACCAUAGAAAUGUCUACAGUAGGAAUUUUCUGUCAAUAUGUGGAAUGCAAAUGUAACUUCUCAAAUGGACAACAGAUUCCAAACUCGAGAAGGAGACCACUCUUGCACCAGUGUGGGUGAAUCUGCCGGACCUGCCUUGGCAUUAUUUUGAGUAGGAUGCUUUAUAUCGUAUUUUAGCUCCUAUUGGCACUCCGAUCAUCACGGACAAGGCCACUUUAUCUAAGAAGAGACCCGCUACUGCGAAAGUCAAGGUCGAAAUCGAUGUCACAAUAUCAUCCUUAAAGGAAGUUCAGAUCAAAAUUACGAACUCGAAAGGCAUAAACGAGUGUCUUGUGCAAAAGCUGGAGUUUGAAGCUAUUCCAGAAUAUUGCUUUAAAUGCAAAGUUCAAGGUCAUAGUGAUGCUAAUUGCAGGGUCCUUUACCCGGAGUUAAGAAAUGAAUAUGCUAAUGAAGGAAAAGAAGGAACAACUAGUACAAGUGCUUCGAUAGCUUCAGAUAAAAUACAGGAACAUACCAAGGAUAAUAGAAUGCAAGUGGAUACCAUAAGAAACCAAGGAACAAAGUUACAAACUGAUAUUGAUAUUAAUAUGGAGCCAGAGAAGUGCCAAGAGGAAGAGGGUUGGACCACAGUGACUAGAGGAAAAUGAAAAAAUAAAGAAAAACAUGAUGGGAAAAAGCAAGAAUUAGAGGUAGCCGUGCAGGGUAUUCUAAAUACAAAGAUGCUUGAUAAUCCAGUUACGCAAAGCAGCGUGAACAAGCCUAUAGAGAAGGCUGAAACUCAGGGAAUAUGUCCAUUAAGGAUAAAAAGCUUAAUCAAGAAACGAACUUCCCGGGCAGCAAGAAAUUGAUAGGCGUUGAGGAGGAAAUCAAUGACCCCUCAUGGCAACCCUUGACCAAGAGAUAAAAAAAAACCUCUAUGAUCAACAAGGUGGUCGAUCUGUACAAAAGGCCGGAAAUAAAGAAGUAAGAAACAGUUUUGCACAAAAAUGAAUCAGAUUUUAUUUGGGGAAAAGGUGCGACAUUUCAACAAGACCAGAUGUUUAAUGUCUCCCUCUAUGUUGAAAGAAAAGAUGCACUAGAUCCUAGAAUACAUGGCCCGUCUAACAUUUUCUGUGGAACUGUUUUAGGGGUCACAAAUGUGGACAAUAAUCUGCUGAGGUUUAGUGAUGCUCCUAACACUACGGAAGAAGUUAAGCGAGUGCCUACCCAUAACAAUGAGCAUACCCUGCAAAUAGAGGAUGCAUGGACACUGAAGUGAACAAUCCCAUUCCUCGGGGGGAAGAAAAAUGCCAUGAUGAAUAUAACCAUUAUGAGACUGAAUCAGAAGAAGAGGAUAAAGAACUUUCUCGAGAUCUGUCUGUCUCAGAUGGAGAAAUGUAUAACAUGUCUUUUAUCUAAGAUAACAAAGAUAACCUUGAUGCUAAAGGAACACCGCUAAAACAAGAUACUUGUAUGACAAACAACCUCUCGCCAAGAGGAACUGAUGUACUUGUUAUAGACUGGAUUCGUAGGGGAAGAGAUGACUUUAACAAAGGGAUAUGCAAAGGUACAAACCUUAAUGUUUCCAAUGAUUAAAGCUCUGUCAUGGAACAUAAGGAGUGUUAACUCUCAAUGUGCCUUCGAAAGGCUUAAAACUAUCAAAGCUCAAUACAACUUAUCUUUCAUCUGCUUACAAGAGCCAUUUGUGAGAAGUGAUCAAAUCAUGACUUACAUGAGACAACUUGGGAUGGAAGGCUGUCAUUCCAACUCCAAUAAUAAAAUUUGGACAUUCUGGUCAAAUGACUUUGAGGUAAAGGUCCAAGAUAACUCCCAACAACAGGAAACUUUUCAGGUAUGCCAUAAAGAUACAAAUGUUAUGUAUUAUUUAACCAAUGUAUAUGCCAAAUACAGGACAACCAUCAGAAAAGAGCUUUGCACAGAACUUGUAACCAUUUCAAAUAGGCUGAAUGGUCCUUGGGCUGUUGUAGGUGAUUUUAAUGUCAUUUCUGAUUCAAUGGAGAAGAAAGGAGGUCGACCCCACAAGGCAGAGAAAAGUUUUGAUUUUGUUUCCUGUUUAUCUGAUUGUGGUAUUGAAAAUGCAGGUUAUGUAAGGAAUAUGUUCACCUGGUGCAAUAACAGAGGAGGCUCUAAUACUAUAUGAAAGAGAUCGGAUAGACUUAUGUAUAACUCUUCUUGGUUUGAUCAGUUUGGCAAAACCACUAUUACUCACCUUACUAAUGCGUGUUCAGAUCAUGUGCCUCUUCUUGUACAAUCUUUUGUCAACUCUACAGAUUUUGUUAAAUAUUUCAGGUUCUUAAACAUAUGGACUGAGAAUGAUGACUUCUUAAACUGUGUGAAAUCUAGUUGGGGUGAAGGAUGUCUACCUAAUCCAAUGUGGAACUUGCAAUUAAAGUUGAAGAAGAUAAAAGUAAGGCUAAGCAUAUGGUCGAGAGAAAAAUAUGGUGAUAUCUAUGAAGAUGCAAAAAAUAAUGAGAAAAACAUUGCUGAACUGGAGCAAAAUUUGAUCCUUAGUAACAGUGAGGGGACAAGGACGCUGUUAAACAAAACUAAGGCUGAUUAUAUCCAAUACCUCAAGGUUCAAGACUCCAUUCUCAGACAGAAAGCGAGAGUGAAAUGGCUUAGUGAGGGUGAUCAAAUACUACAUAGUUUCAUAGUUCCUUAAAAUAUAGGAGAAGGAGACUUCACAUUAACAAAUUCAGGAUGAACAACUCCAAUGGGUAGAAGGUAAUGAAGAUACCAAUAAGGCAACUGUGAGAUAUUUCAAAGGAAUUUUCUGCCAGACUCCUCAGUUUCAAGACAUGGAUGAACUUAAGAGCAUUCCCUCUGUGGUUAAUGAUGCAACCAAUAUGGAUCCCAUUGCCAUGCCAUCCACGAAUGAGAUUAAAGAAAUUGUUUUCACUAUGGACCCGGAUAGUGCCCCAGGUCCUGAUGGUAUCACUGCCAAAUUUUUUCAAGUUUGUUCGGAUAUUAUUAGUAAAGACAUUACUUUGGCCAUCCAGGCCUUUUUCUGUGGUGCACCACUUCCUAAUAGUUUCACUCAUACUUGCAUCGUCAUGUUGCCCAAAGUUCCUUUCCCCUAACAUUUUUCAGACAUUAUAUGUAAAGCAAAACAUUUGGCAAGCUUCUUAAUACAAGGUAAAGUAAAUGUCUUCCUAAUCUUAUUAGUGGUAAUCAGAGUUGCUUUGUUCAAGGGAGGGAAAUUACUGAAAAUAUUUUGUUAGCACAAGAAAUUAUCAUGACAUUGUUUGCCCCAAUACUGAGCAAUCAAGUUAGAUAUGACAAAAGCAUAUGAUAGAGUUUCAUGGCCGUAUUUAUGCAUUUUGAUGAGGAAAUUUGGUUUUUGUGAAAUUUGGAUUGACAUAAUUAUAGACAUAUUUCGAGUAAUUGUACUCUAUUCUAGUGAAUGACUCUAGAUAUGGUAUUUUUUAAAUCAGAGAGGGGUCUCAGGCUAGGAGACCCUAUUUGCCCUUCACUCUUUAUACUUAGUGCUGAGUAUUUUUCUCAGAAAAUCUCUCUUCGGAAAGAUUUUAUUGGAUUUCAAAUGAGCAAGAAAGGCCCUCUUAUAAAUCACUUUGCAUUUGCUGAUGAUAUCAUGUUAUUUUCUAGUGGUUGCAGAACAUCUCUCAAGCUUCUUAUGGGCACAUUGGCUAAGUACGAGAAGAUCUCCGAACAAAUGAUCAACAAACAUAAAUCUUGUAUUAUUCUUGCUCCGAAGGCCACAGAAGAAGAUAUUGCAAGAAUUGAGGGAAUCACUGGUAUGAGCCAUAAGACCAUGCCUAUUAAAUACCUCGGGUGCCCUCUUUAUGCUGGAAGGAAAAAAAUUGUUAUUUUCACUGAGAUGGUUGAAAAGGUUAUUAGCAGAAUUAGUGGAUGGCAAUCCAAACUUCUCUCAAUUUAUGGGAGAGCCGUUCUAAUCAAACAUGUCCUCCUUUCACUCCUUAUUCAUCUCUUAGCAGCGAUUCAUUCUCCAAAAGGUGUUUCAAAACACUUAGAGUUGUAGCUUGAUUUUUAUGGAGUGGUAAUGAUAAAUAGAAAAAGUUCCAUUGGGCCUCGUGGGAUGAUUUGUGCAGACCUUAUGACGAAGGUGGUGCCCAAUUUAGAAAACUUCAAUACAUUUGUGAUGCUUUCACAACAAAGCAAUGGUGGAAUCUUAGAACGAGUCAGUCAUUAUGGAAUAAAUUCCUUAUGGCUAAAUAUUGCCAAAGAUUGCACCCUUUGGUCAAGCAAUGGUACUCAGACAGUAAAGGUGUCUUCAAAGUAUCUUCUGCUUGGAAGUUACUAAGAAGUACGCAACAAAUUUCAUGGAUUGAUACUAUGACCUGGAAUAAAGUCAUUCCCUUUAAAAAUGUCUUUUAUUGUUUGGAGAGCUUUAAGGGAUAAAAUUCCUACCGAUCUAAAGAUUAGUAGAAUGGGGAUAGCUAUUCCUUCAAAAUGUGUGUGUUGUAAAUCUGCUAAUAUGGAAGGAGUAGAACAUUUAUUUUAUAGAGGGGAGAUGGCCAAUGAUCUUUGGAGACUUAUAUGCGGCGCGUUAGGGCUUGGUAGCGCUAAUUCCUCAUAUAGAAAAAUCUUGAUCACCAUAUGGAAGUGUAAAGUCUUUAAUCCCAUAAAAUCUCUUACCUAUAAAUGUCUCCCUAUUUUUGUGUCUUGGGAAAUAUGGCGAUCAAGGUGUGCCAUCAAGUAUGGAAUAGAAAAAGUGUCUUUGAAAAGAUCUAUAUCCUUGAUAGCCUUUAAUAUGAGACAGACGCUUGAGUCCGAGUAUAAACAACUUAAAAUGGGACAUGAAUGGAAGGACAUUAUAAACAUUCUAGAUUGCAAGUUUUUUUUUGUGAAAAACAGAAUAUGGGUUAAGUGGAACAAACCUGAGCUUCUAUUUGUUAAGAUAAAUUCUGAUGGAAGUUGUUAUGAUGGUAAGUUUAUUUUUGGGUACUCUCUCAAGGUGGGAAAGGGGACUAGCACCUGGGCAGAAGCUGUGGCGCUUGAGUUUGGAAUAAAAUGGUGUUUAGAGAAUGAUUUCCUCUCUUUUACCGCGGAAAGUGACUCCAAAGUCCUUGUGGAUAGUGUCAACAAUUGUCACUCAACUCCUUGGAGAAUUAUGGAUGAUGUUAAUGAAAUUAUUAGACUUAAGGAGCUUGUAGGUUUUAAUAUGGUGCACUGUUUUAGGGAAGCAAACAAGGUCGCAGACAAGCUCGCUAAUCUAAAGUCAUGGCUUCUCACAAAAUCAAAUGUUUCAGUCUUAUGAAGAAUUACCAUUGAAAGUGAAAGGACUCUUGAGAUUAGACAGGCCCAGUCAUCGUACAACCAACAAAAAGAAAGCAUAAAUCACCUAUGACCCCCCUUAGUUGUGCAGAUUAGUCUACGCCUUUUUUGGAGCAUUGGUGUUCCUCGUUAUUGCAUUUACAUCAUCUUUCAAGGUGUCUUAAAUAAUCUUAUAUAUCAGCAAAGCAAGUCAGGGAAACUUGUAAAGA